rnacentral:rRNA from 1 species
UACAGAGGUCCCGAGCGUUGUUCGGAUUCACUGGGCGUAAAGGGUGCGUAGGUGGUGAGGUAAGUCGGAUGUGAAAUCUCCGGGCUCAACCCGGAAACUGCAUUGGAAACUACAUGGCUAGAGUGCGUUCGGGGCAGAGGGAAUUCCUGGUGUAGCGGUGAAAUGCGUAGAGAUCAGGAAGAACACCGGUGGCGAAAGCGGGUCUCUGGACAGUUCCUGACGCUGAGGCACGAAGGCCAGGGGAGCAAACGGG